rnacentral:rRNA from 1 species
UACGGGGGGGGCAAGCGUUGUUCGGAAUUACUGGGCGUAAAGGGCUUGUAGGUGGCCAACUAAGUCAGACGUGAAAUCCCUCGGCUUAACCGGGGAACUGCGUCUGAUACUGGAUGGCUCGAGUUUUGGGAGAGGGAUGCGGAAUUCCAGGUGUAGCGGUGAAAUGCGUAGAUAUCUGGAGGAACACCGGUGGCGAAGGCGGCAUCCUGGACCAACACUGACACUGAAAAGCGAAAGCCAGGGGAGCAAACGGG